GACGAACGCUGGCGGCGUGCUUAACACAUGCAAGUCGAACGGGCCCGCUCUCUUUUUUGGGGGUGGGUUGAGUGGCGAACGGGUGAGUAUCACGUGAGUAACCUGCCCCCUGCUCCUGGAUAACUGCUUGAAAGGGCGGCUAAUACGGGGUGUGCCGGCUGGUCCGCAUGGGCCUGGUCGGGAUAGUUUCAUCUUCGGGUGUUUCGGUGGGGGAUGGGCUCGCGGCCUAUCAGCUUGUUGGUGGGGUGGGGGCCCACCAAGGCGGGGACGGGUAGCCGGCCUGAGAGGGUGGGCGGCCACACUGGGACUGAGACACGGCCCAGACUCCUGCGGGAGGCAGCAGUGGGGGGUAUUGCACAAUGGGCGGAAGCCUGAUGCAGCGACGUCGCGUGAGGGAUGGAGGCCUUCGGGUUGUGAACCUCUUUCUCCGGUGGUGAAGGCCCUGUCCGUUGCGGCGGGGUUGACGGUAGCCGGGUAUGAAGCGCCGGCUAACUACGUG
rnacentral:rRNA from 1 species